rnacentral:rRNA from 1 species
AGUGAACGCUGGCGGUAGGCCUAACACAUGCAAGUCGAACGGCAGCACAGUAAGAGCUUGCUCUUACGGGUGGCGAGUGGCGGACGGGUGAGGAAUACAUCGGAAUCUACUUUUUCGUGGGGGAUAACGUAGGGAAACUUACGCUAAUACCGCAUACGACCUACGGGUGAAAGCAGGGGAUCUUCAGACCUUGCGCGAUUGAAUGAGCCGAUGUCGGAUUAGCUAGUUGGCGGGGUAAAGGCCCACCAAGGCGACGACCCGUAGCUGGUCUGAGAGGAUGAUCAGCCACACUGGAACUGAGACACGGUCCAGACUCCUACGGGAGGCAGCAGUGGGGAAUAUUGGACAAUGGGCGCAAGCCUGAUCCAGCCAUACCGCGUGGGUGAAGAAGGCCUUCGGGUUGUAAAGCCCUUUUGUUGGGAAAGAAAAGCAGCAGGUUAAUACCCCGCUGUUCUGACGGUACCCAAAGAAUAAGCACCGGCUAACUUCGUG